UUUGGAUUGGCCUGAGGCAGGGGACUCGGAAGGUUAAGGCCUUCUUCCACUGCGGUCUGAAGAUGAGCGAUGCCAGAAGCCUGCAAUACAGCAACAGAAGUACAAACAAAUGUGGAGAUGUGGCACUGUGCAUCAAUUUCGAGAGCACCAAACUUCAGCUGGACAGAUGGAUCUGCAUGGAGCCAUUCAGGACAAGGAGAGAGAACAGGAAUCAUCCAUUUCUGGUUUUACAUCUACACUGCAAUUUAUGAACAAAUGCGCAUGUUGCCUUCAAUGAAGGACAGAUGUCGAGCAAUGAAUCGAUCCACCCGAAUCGGCAAGUUUUCAUGCUUGAAAAGGCCAUGUUUAAUGUUUUUGAACUCUGCUUCAACAUUGGCUGAACUUGCGAUGAUGUUGGUGCUUCGGAAGUGAGGGAUCAUUACCCCUGUCCAAAGUGGUCUGUCUGCGCUUGGUCACCCACCCACUGCGUUUGAUCUGCUUUUUCCAGGUCCUCACCCUCUACAUCUGGAAUGAUGACACACUCUUCUGCAAUUCGGCCUUUCAGUCCCACUGGCAGAUCAUCUUGAUGCAGUGUGCAACAUCAACCCGGACAAAACAAGGUGGCACUUUAGCAGACUGAUUACCAACAUUUGCACGACUGGGACACUUGAGCUCUUAUUACCUGCCAGAACUCCCUGAUAUAAGAAGACAUGGCCAGACAUGCCGUUUGGUCUCUGUAGUUUCCUCACUACUGAGCCAGUUGCAUCAAAACUCACAGUGGGGGUGGCCAAAUUAGGCAGAUGGCUUGGCUCAGGAUCUCCAAAAUCCAUCAGCUUUGUUGCCUCUGAUGCCCUCCAUACAUGGGAUUCCAUUCUACCCUCACACAGUUCUUUGGAUAUCUGCACACGCAAGUUACCAGACAUCGGACGCUUGGAACAGCCAGUGUGCAGGGAGUCAUCUGUGUUUUUAAUGAAACACUUUAGCACCAUUGGGCUGUUCAUUUCAGGCUCUCGGUCACAUUUUAUGUGAAUGUGGCCAUGACACUCCUUACACUUGCCUCUGAUUUCUAUGUAUUUCUCUGUGGCUGAUGGAUAAACCUUGGCUCUUUUAAAGGCAAAUGUGCAGGGGCUUUUCACUUCUUGCCAAAUGUGAUGAUUUAUCACAUGCGUCCAGAUGCCAGGCUUCAAAAUUGUGUAUUCCGUUUUGUGUUUUAGAGAACUUGUUUUUGUAUUGAACUGUUUCAGGCAUAAAUUCAAUCCAUUUCUGAAAUGGAACUUCAAGAUCAAAAGUCCAGCUAUCUUUUGGUUUGGGGGAAAGGGACCCUGGCUCUAAAUCAGUGUCAUCACUACUGCCACUUGUUUCAUGAUCACUUUCAUCACGAAUAAACUCUAAAGCAUUCCAGAUGUUGUGUCUGUUUAAUUUAACAAAAGUGUAUAGAGCCUUUGCGGUGAUCUUGUUCUCUAGCUGCUUACUAAGCUCUGUCCAGAUGUUCUGAUUAGGAGUAGCUAUGUUGCCAUUUUUGACUAUGGCCUCUUUUGAUGAACACAGGACUGUGAAAAUGGAAUCCCUGUCGACUGCUGGUUUCUUGGGCAUCUGGCAUAAGCAAAACAUAAUUAGUCAUUUAAAUAAUCCUGACUCCAAAAAUGUCAUGUAUAGUGUAAACCUGUAUGACUGUAUUGGACCGAAUAUAAGGAUAAUAUGGAUGUUAUAUCUUAUAUUACUAACAAUACGGUAAUGUUGAUCCCUAAAUGCACAACAUAUUCUAAAAACUAACAUGGGUCAUAUGUGCAACUGUAUUUAGCAUUUAAUUGCUAAUGAUACGAGAGAUAUAAGUAUUAGCAAUGAGUUUUCUGUUCAAUAAACAUUGACAAUCUUAGCUCACUUGAAUGCUGUACCGUUGUUCUUGAAGUUACCAUUACAAAAAUUAACCAUUGUUUUAGUAUAG